rnacentral:rRNA from 1 species
AUUAGGGUUCGAUUCCGGAGAGGGAGCCUGAGAAACGGCUACCACAUCCAAGGAAGGCAGCAGGCGCGCAAAUUACCCAAUCCCGACACGGGGAGGUAGUGACAAUAAAUAACAAUACAGGGCUCUUACGGGUCUUGUAAUUGGAAUGAGUACAAUUUAAAUCUCUUAACGAGGAACAAUUGGAGGGCAAGUCUGGUGCCAGCAGCCGCGGUAAUUCCAGCUCCAAUAGCGUAUAUUAAAGUUGUUGCAGUUAAAAAGCUCGUAGUUGAAUUUCGGGGUUCUUCCGUUGGUCAGGCUAACAAGUCUGUACUAGCGUGUAGAAUCUCUACCUUCUGGGGAACCAUCAUGUUAUUAAUUUAGCGUGGUGGGAAACCAGGACCUUUACCUUGAAAAAAUUAGAGUGUUCAAAGCAGGCUUACGUCUGAAUACAUUAGCAUGGAAUAAUAAAAUAGGACGGUGGUCCUGUUUUGUUGGUUUCUGAAUCACCGUAAUGAUUAAUAGGGAUAGUUGGGGGCAUUAGUAUUCAAUUGUCAGAGGUGAAAUUCUUGGAUUUAUUGAAGACUAACUUCUGCGAAAGCAUUUGCCAAGGAUGUUUUCAUUAAUCAAGAACGAAAGUUAGGGGAUCGAAGACGAUCAGAUACCGUCGUAGUCUUAACCAUAAACUAUGCCGACUAGGGAUCGGACGAUGUUAAAUUUUAUUGACUCGUUCGGCGCCUUACGGGAAAC